AGACGUCUACAUUAGAUACCCGUGUAGUCCCAGCCGUAAACUAUGCGCGUUAGGUGUAUCGGUGACCACGAGUUACCGAGGUGCCGAAGGGAAACCGUGAAACGUGCCGCCUGGGAAGUACGGUCGCAAGGCUGAAACUUAAAGGAAUUGGCGGGGAGCACCACAACAGGUGGAGCCUGCGGUUUAAUUGGACUCAACGCCGGGAAGCUCACCGGAUAGGACAGCAGAAUGAUUGCCGGGCUGAAGACCCUGCAUGGCUAGCUG
rnacentral:rRNA from 1 species